UGCGUAGGCGGUUAGAUAAGUCAGAGGUGAAAGCCCGCAGCUCAACUGUGGAAUUGCCUUUGAUACUGUUUGACUUGAAUCAGGUUGAGGUUGGCGGAAUGUGACAUGUAGCGGUGAAAUGCAUAGAUAUGUCAUAGAACACCAAUUGCGAAGGCAGCUAACUAGACCUGUAUUGACGCUGAGGCACGAAAGCGUGGGGAGCGAACAGGAUUAGAUACCCUGGUAGUCC
rnacentral:rRNA from 1 species